UCCUACGGGAGGCAGCAGUGGGGAAUAUUGCACAAUGGGGGGAACCCUGAUGCAGCGACGCCGCGUGAGCGAUGAAGUAUUUCGGUAUGUAAAGCUCUAUCAGCAGGGAAGAAAAUGACGGUACCUGACUAAGAAGCCCCGGCUAACUACGUGCCAGCAGCCGCGGUAGUACGUAGGGGGCAAGCGUUAUCCGGAUUUACUGGGUGUAAAGGGAGCGUAGACGGCUGUGCAAGUCUGGAGUGAAAGGCAUGGGCUCAACCUGUGGAGUGCUUUGGA
rnacentral:rRNA from 1 species